rnacentral:rRNA from 1 species
UUGGUCAUGCUAGAAAGAGCGUAUGGUGGAUGCCUUGGCACUAAGAGCCGAUGAAAGACGUGAUAAGCUGCGAAAAGCUUCGGGGAGGAGCAAAUAUCCUUUGAUCCGGAGAUAUCUGAAUGGGGAAACCCACUUGAGCAAACCUCAAGUAUCCUUAAGCCAAUACAUAACUUAAGGAAGGGAACCCGGUGAACUGAAACAUCUAAGUAGCCGGAGGAAGAGAAAACAACAUGUGAUUCUGUGAGUAGCGGCGAGCGAAAACGGAAGAGCCCAAACCGGGAUGCGUGCAUCCCGGGGUUCGGACCGCAUAAUUGAUUCAACGAAUUUAGCAGAACGGUUUUGG